GCCUGCAUGAAGUCGGAAUUGCUAGUAAUCGCGGAUCAGCAUGCCGCGGUGAAUACGUUCCCGGGCCUUGUACACACCGCCCGUCACACCAUGGGAGUCGGAAAUGCCCGAAGUCUGUGACCCAACCGUAAGGAGGGAGCAGCCGAAGGCAGGUCGGAUGACUGGGGUGAAGUCGUAACAAGGUAAC
rnacentral:rRNA from 1 species